UACGUAGGGUGCAAGCGUUAAUCGGAAUUACUGGGCGUAAAGCGUGCGCAGGCGGUUGUGCAAGACAGAUGUGAAAUCCCCGGGCUCAACCUGGGAACUGCAUUUGUGACUGCAUCGCUGGAGUGCGGCAGAGGGGGAUGGAAUUCCGCGUGUAGCAGUGAAAUGCGUAGAUAUGCGGAGGAACACCGAUGGCGAAGGCAAUCCCCUGGGCCUGCACUGACGCUCAUGCACGAAAGCGUGGGGAGCAAACAGGG
rnacentral:rRNA from 1 species